GUAGGUGGCAAGCGUUGUCCGGAAUUAUUGGGCGUAAAGCGCGCGCAGGCGGUUCUUUAAGUCUGAUGUGAAAGCCCACGGGCUCAACCGUGGAGGGUCAUUGGAAACUGGAGAACUUGAGUACAGAAGAGGAAAGCGGAAUUCCACGUGUAGCGGUGAAAUGCGUAGAGAUGUGGAGGAACACCAGUGGCGAAGGCGGCUUUCUGGUCUGUAACCGACGCUGAGGCGCGAAAGCGUGGGGAGCAAACAGGAUUAGAUACCCUGGUAGUCCACGCCGUAAACGAUGAGUGCUAAGUGUUAGGGGGUUUCCGCCCCUUAGUGCUGCAGCUAACGCAUUAAGCACUCCGCCUGGGGAGUACGGCCGCAAAGGCUG
rnacentral:rRNA from 1 species